UACGUAGGGUGCAAGCGUUAAUCGGAAUUACUGGGCGUAAAGCGUGCGCAGGCGGUUAUUUAAGUCAGGUGUGAAAGCCCUGGGCUUAACCUAGGAAUUGCGCUUGAGACUGGAUAGCUUGGAGUGCGGCAGAGGGAGGUGGAAUUCCACGUGUAGCAGUGAAAUGCGUAGAGAUGUGGAGGAACACCGAUGGCGAAGGCAGCCCCCUGGGCUGAGAUUGACGCUCAGGCACGAAAGCGUGGGGAGCAAACAGG
rnacentral:rRNA from 1 species